ACUCAAAGGAAUUGACGGGGACCCGCACAACUGGUGGAGCGUGUGGUUUAAUUCGAGACAAAGCGAAAAACCUUACCAGGGCUUGACAUGUAAUCGUUUUAUGCCUUAGGAAACUUUGGCAGAUCCGCAAGGAUGAUUAUGCAGGUGAUGCAUGGCUGUCGUCAGCUCGUGUCGUGAGAUGUUCCCUUAAGUGGGGAAACGAGCGCAACCCUCGUGAAAUGUUAAAUAUUCAUUUCAGACGGUCCCGAUCAUAUCGGGAAGGAAGGGGAGGUAGAUGUCAAGUCAGCACGUCCCUUAUGCCCUGGGUUACACACACCCUACAAUGGCGAACAACAAUGAGCAGCAAGCCGGUAACGGCAAGCAAAUCUCAAAAAUUUCGCCUCAGUUCAGAUUGAGGGCUGCAACUCGCCCUCAUGAAGGAGGAAUCAGUAGUAAUCGCAGAUCAGAAGGCCGCGGUGAAUACGUUCUCGGGUCUUGUACACACCGCCCGU
rnacentral:rRNA from 1 species